rnacentral:tRNA from 1 species
GAAGUUAUAGUUUUUAGAAUAUAAAUCUUGUAAAUUUAAGGAUACACGCUUCA